GACGAACGCUGGCGGCGUGCUUAACACAUGCAAGUCGAACGGAAAGGCCCUGCUUUUGUGGGGUGCUCGAGUGGCGAACGGGUGAGUAACACGUGAGUAACCUGCCCUUGACUUUGGGAUAACUUCAGGAAACUGGGGCUAAUACCGGAUAGGAGCUCCUGCUGCAUGGUGGGGGUUGGAAAGUUUCGGCGGUUGGGGAUGGACUCGCGGCUUAUCAGCUUGUUGGUGGGGUAGUGGCUUACCAAGGCUUUGACGGGUAGCCGGCCUGAGAGGGUGACCGGCCACAUUGGGCCUGAGGUACGGCCCAGUCUCCUACGGGAGGCAGCAGUGGGGAAUAUUGCGCAGUGGGCGGAAGCCUGAUGCAGCAGCGCCGCGUGCGGGAUGACGGCCUUCGGGUUGUAAACCGCUUUCGCCUGUGACGAAGCGUGAGUGACGGUAAUGGGUAAAGAAGCACCGGCUAACUACGUG
rnacentral:rRNA from 1 species